AUUGAACGCUGGCGGCAUGCUUUACACAUGCAAGUCGAACGGCAGCACAAACUUCGGUUUGGUGGCGAGUGGCGAACGGGUGAGUAAUGCAUCGGAACGUGUCCUAAAGUGGGGGAUAACGCAUCGAAAGAUGCGCUAAUACCGCAUAAUCUCUAAGGAGAAAAGUGGGGGAUCGAAAGACCUCAUGCUUUUGGAGCGGCCGAUGUCUGAUUAGCUAGUUGGUGGGGUAAUGGCCUACCAAGGCGACGAUCAGUAGUUGGUCUGAGAGGAUGGCCAGCCACACUGGGACUGAGACACGGCCCAGACUCCUACGGGAGGCAGCAGUGGGGAAUUUUGGACAAUGGGCGCAAGCCUGAUCCAGCAAUGCCGCGUGAGUGAAGAAGGCCUUCGGUUGUAAGUCUCUUUCUAGUUGAGAAGAAAAAUUAACGACUAAUAAUACG
rnacentral:rRNA from 1 species